rnacentral:rRNA from 1 species
UACGGGGGGGGGCAAGCGUUGUUCGGAAUUACUGGGCGUAAAGGGCUCGUAGGCGGCCAACUAAGUCAGACGUGAAAUCCCUCGGCUUAACCGGGGAACUGCGUCUGAUACUGGAUGGCUAGAGGUUGGGAGAGGGAUGCGGAUUCCAGGUGUAGCGGUGAAAUGCGUAGAUAGUCGGGAGGAACACCGGUGGCGAAGGCGGUCUCUGGCCUGUACUGACGCUGAGGAGCGAAAGCGUGGGGAGCGAACGGAUAGAACCCU